AAGGUUAAGCCUCACGGUUCAUUAGUACCGGUUAGCUCAACGCAUCGCUGCGCUUACACACCCGGCCUAUCAACGUCGUCGUCUUCAACGUUCCUUCAGGACUCUCAGGGAGUCAGGGAGAACUCAUCUCGGGGCAAGUUUCGUGCUUAGAUGCUUUCAGCACUUAUCUCUUCCGCAUUUAGCUACCGGGCAGUGCCAUUGGCAUGACAACCCGAACACCAGUGAUGCGUCCACUCCGGUCCUCUCGUACUAGGAGCAGCCCCCCUCAGUUCUCCAGCGCCCACGGCAGAUAGGGACCGAACUGUCUCACGACGUUCUAAACCCAGCUCGCGUACCACUUUAAAUGGCGAACAGCCAUACCCUUGGGACCUACUUCAGCCCCAGGAUGUGAUGAGCCGACAUCGAGGUGCCAAACACCGCCGUCGAUAUGAACUCUUGGGCGGUAUCAGCCUGUUAUCCCCGGAGUACCUUUUAUCCGUUGAGCGAUGGCCCUUCCAUUCAGAACCACCGGAUCACUAUGACCUGCUUUCGCACCUGCUCGCGCCGUCACGCUCGCAGUCAAGCUGGCUUAUGCCAUUGCACUAACCUCCUGAUGUCCGACCAGGAUUAGCCAACCUUCGUGCUCCUCCGUUACUCUUUAGGAGGAGACCGCCCCAGUCAAACUACCCACCAGACACUGUCCGCAACCCCGAUUAGGGGCCAACGUUAGAACAUCAAACAUUAAAGGGUGGUAUUUCAAGGUCGGCUCCAUGCAGACUGGCGUCCACACUUCAAAGCCUCCCACCUAUCCUACACAUCAAGGCUCAAUGUUCAGUGUCAAGCUAUAGUAAAGGUUCACGGGGUCUUUCCGUCUUGCCGCGGGUACACUGCAUCUUCACAGCGAGUUCAAUUUCACUGAGUCUCGGGUGGAGACAGCCUGGCCAUCAUUACGCCAUUCGUGCAGGUCGGAACUUACCCGACAAGGAAUUUCGCUACCUUAGGACCGUUAUAGUUACGGCCGCCGUUUACCGGGGCUUCGAUCAAGAGCUUCGCGUUACCGCUAACCCCAUCAAUUAACCUUCCGGCACCGGGCAGGCGUCACACCGUAUACGUCCACUUUCGUGUUUGCACAGUGCUGUGUUUUUAAUAAACAGUUGCAGCCAGCUGGUAUCUUCGACUGAUUUCAGCUCCACGAGCAAGUCGCUUCACCUACAUAUCAGCGUGCCUUCUCCCGAAGUUACGGCACCAUUUUGCCUAGUUCCUUCACCCGAGUUCUCUCAAGCGCCUUGGUAUUCUCUACCUGACCACCUGUGUCGGUUUGGGGUACGAUUUGAUGUUACCUGAUGCUUAGAGGCUUUUCCUGGAAGCAGGGCAUUUGUUGCUUCAGCACCGUAGUGCCUCGUCAUCACGCCUCAGCCUUGAUUUUCCGGAUUUGCCUGGAAAACCAGCCUACACGCUUAAACCGGGACAACCGUCGCCCGGCCAACAUAGCCUUCUCCGUCCCCCCUUCGCAGUAACACCAAGUACAGGAAUAUUAACCUGUUUCCCAUCGACUACGCCUUUCGGCCUCGCCUUAGGGGUCGACUCACCCUGCCCCGAUUAACGUUGGACAGGAACCCUUGGUCUUCCGGCGAGCGGGCUUUUCACCCGCUUUAUCGUUACUUAUGUCAGCAUUCGCACUUCUGAUACCUCCAGCAUCCUCACAGCACACCUUCGCAGGCUUACAGAACGCUCCCCUACCCAACAACACAUAGUGUCGCUGCCGCAGCUUCGGUGCAUGGUUUAGCCCCGUUACAUCUUCCGCGCAGGCCGACUCGACCAGUGAGCUAUUACGCUUUCUUUAAAUGAUGGCUGCUUCUAAGCCAACAUCCUGGCUGUCUGGGCCUUCCCACAUCGUUUCCCACUUAACCAUGACUUUGGGACCUUAGCUGGCGGUCUGGGUUGUUUCCCUCUUCACGACGGACGUUAGCACCCGCCGUGUGUCUCCCGUGAUAACAUUCUCCGGUAUUCGCAGUUUGCAUCGGGUUGGUAAGUCGGGAUGACCCCCUUGCCGAAACAGUGCUCUACCCCCGGAGAUGAAUUCACGAGGCGCUACCUAAAUAGCUUUCGGGGAGAACCAGCUAUCUCCCGGUUUGAUUGGCCUUUCACCCCCAGCCACAAGUCAUCCGCUAAUUUUUCAACAUUAGUCGGUUCGGUCCUCCAGUUAGUGUUACCCAACCUUCAACCUGCCCAUGGCUAGAUCACCGGGUUUCGGGUCUAUACCCUGCAACUUAACGCCCAGUUAAGACUCGGUUUCCCUUCGGCUCCCCUAUUCGGUUAACCUUGCUACAGAAUAUAAGUCGCUGACCCAUUAUACAAAAGGUACGCAGUCACCCCAUAAAGAGGCUCCCACUGCUUGUACGUACACGGUUUCAGGUUCUUUUUCACUCCCCUCGCCGGGGUUCUUUUCGCCUUUCCCUCACGGUACUGGUUCACUAUCGGUCAGUCAGGAGUAUUUAGCCUUGGAGGAUGGUCCCCCCAUAUUCAGACAGGAUACCACGUGUCCCGCCCUACUCAUCGAGCUCACAGCAUGUGCAUUUUUGUGUACGGGGCUGUCACCCUGUAUCGCGCGCCUUUCCAGACGCUUCCACUAACACACACACUGAUUCAGGCUCUGGGCUGCUCCCCGUUCGCUCGCCGCUACUGGGGGAAUCUCGGUUGAUUUCUUUUCCUCGGGGUACUUAGAUGUUUCAGUUCCCCCGGUUCGCCUCAUUAACCUAUGGAUUCAGUUAAUGAUAGUGUGACGAAUCACACUGGGUUUCCCCAUUCGGAAAUCGCCGGUUAUAACGGUUCAUAUCACCUUACCGACGCUUAUCGCAGAUUAGCACGUCCUUCAUCGCCUCUGACUGCCAGGGCAUCCACCGUGUACGCUUAGUCGCUUAA
rnacentral:rRNA from 1 species